UCGGAAUUACUGGGCGUAAAGCGUGCGCAGGCGGUUUUGUAAGUCUGACGUGAAAGCUCCGGGCUCAACCUGGGAAUUGCGUUGGAGACUGCAAGGCUUGAAUCUGGCAGAGGGGGGUAGAAUUCCACGUGUAGCAGUGAAAUGCGUAGAGAUGUGGAGGAACACCGAUGGCGAAGGCAGCCCCCUGGGUCAAGAUUGACGCUCAUGCACGAAAGCGUGGGGAGCAAACAGGAUUAGAUA
rnacentral:rRNA from 1 species